ACCUCUUUAGUAUAGUGGCAGUACAAGGCUCUUGUAAAGCUUAGACCCUGGUUCAAUUCCAGGAAGAGGCA
rfam:Dictyostelium lacteum strain TK GLQOFTK02IJPNF, whole genome shotgun sequence.